ensembl:lncRNA
CCCGCGGUUGUGGGUUUCCACAUCACCAUUCAAGAACACAAGCCGGCCCCUGGGUAGAGUUGUAAACUGUUUACAGCUCAACACCACGUCACCAUUCACAAGCCGUUCUCGUCGUCUUCUUUCACCAGGUCAUACACAAGCGCGUCCUCUUCCAAAACAGUUCAGUACACAGGGAGUAGUCAGCCAGUCCAGGUUAAUCCAGCACCAAGGAACCUCGGGUAGAAUGGUGUCGGCGUUGUCUCCCUAUCGAAGAGGUGAUCCAGUCCUGGCCGCAGGAGCUGCCGCGAUCUAUCUUCUGCCAGAGCCUCGACCGAGGGGGGGUAUUCGACAGGAGAGGAGAGGGAAACAGACAGCACUCAGAGGAGAGGGAUCUGCCGUUCUACCUGAAGUUCUCUCCCCAUCAAAAGUUGUCUGCACGCACUAGAGGCAACCCUCCACCACCGGUGAACCCUUCAAUCGUCAGUAAAACCCGGCCUAUCAGAAGAUUGGAGCAAUUUAUUCUCUACCACCACCAGUGUCUUGACUCCCAAAUGGGGAUAUGCCUCAUCUCAUCUCGGCAUCCCCGGCUCCUGGUUUAUCCUAUGGCUUCUGCAAUGCCGAGGAGAAGAAGAAGAGGACUGAAUGCUGGACGCCUGAGUACAGGAAGGGAAAAUGAAGUCCCCCC